AUUGAACGCUGGCGGCAUGUUUUACACAUGCAAGUCGAACGGUAACAGGGGAGCUUGCUCCCGCUGACGAGUGGCGAACGGGUGAGUAAUGCAUCGGAACGUGCCGAAUAGUGGGGGAUAACGCACCGAAAGGUGUGCUAAUACCGCAUACGCCCUGAGGGGGAAAGUGGGGGACCGCAAGGCCUCACGCUAAUCGAGCGGCCGAUGUCGGAUUAGCUAGUUGGUGGGGUAAAGGCUCACCAAGGCGACGAUCCGUAGCGGGUCUGAGAGGAUGAUCCGCCACACUGGGACUGAGACACGGCCCAGACUCCUACGGGAGGCAGCAGUGGGGAAUUUUGGACAAUGGGGGAAACCCUGAUCCAGCCAUGCCGCGUGUCUGAAGAAGGCCUUCGGGUUGUAAAGGACUUUUGUCCGGGAGGAAACCCUGAUCGUUAAUAGCGGUCGGGACUGACAGUACCGGAAGAAUAAGCACCGGCUAACUACGUGCCAGCCGCCGCAGUAAAAC
rnacentral:rRNA from 1 species